rnacentral:rRNA from 1 species
CAGAGGUCUCUAAGCGUUGUUCGGAUUCAUUGGGCGUAAAGGGUGCGUAGGUGGCGCGCUAAGUCAGGUGUGAAAUUUCGAGCUCAACUCCGAAACUGCAUUUGAUACUGGCGUGCUUGAGGACUGGAGAGGAGACUGGAAUUCACGGUGUAGCAGUGAAAUGCGUAGAUAUCGUGAGGAAGACCAGUGGCGAAGGCGGGUCUCUGGACAGUUCCUGACACUGAGGCACGAAGGCCAGGGGAGCAAACGGGAUUAGAUACCCCGGUAGUCCUGGCAGUAAACGGUGCACGUUUGGUGUGGGAGGAUUCGACCCCUUCUGCGCCGGAGCUAACGCGUUAAACGUGCCGCCUGGGGAGUACGGUCGCAAGAUUAA